UGCUGACUCUCCAGACACGCUCUGCUUAUAUUGACACAGCACGCGACUCACUGAGGGGGCUUUUAAUUUGGAAAGAGGCACAAAAGAAGAAUGGCCGGAGGGAGAGACAAGUUUUGGUAAAAUCCAGGACAGCUGGUUGUCCUUCACACGGACAAACUCUGGGAUCUUCUGCUGGUUCUCCCGCUGCCUGAUCUCCUCCUGCUCAUACUGGAAAACAAAACACAAAUCUGAUGGCCGCCGUUUUGCCAUCUCCUCCUCCUUGUGCAGCUCCAGUCUGCGCUGCUCCAACACUCGCUUCAGCUCCGGUUUCUCCUCCAGCAGCAGGCCCCUGCAGGGUCAGUCAGAGUCACAGUUACACACACAAUCCACCCUGCUCGGUUUCUAAUGUUGACCCCAUUAGGAUCAGAUAGAGGAGGUGUUUUCAGUGUUUGACCUCCUGUACCGUUUAUGGCUGAGCAGCAGCUCCCGGUGCAGGUUCUGGUAGCUCGGUGCCUCCACUGAGGAGCCGUUCAGUUUCCUGAGCCGAAUGCCCUCGUCCCCGCUGCAGUCUGCUGUGGACUGACGGGCCAGCCGCUGGCGGCCAACAGACGUCUCUGACGAACACAAAACAACUCAUAUCACUACCUGUUUACUUUGACUUUUACCUCCUCAGAUCUGAUCUCUAAUUCUGAUACAAUCUUGAAAUGGAUGAAUAGAAAAAUGUUUGACACGUUAAAUACCUUUUUUGUGAUUUCCAUAUCCUGGUUUCUGUUGGUUAAAAAGUAU